AUACUUGCCUGAUAGGAGAGAUACGGAGGUCAUGAAGGUGAUUUUCCCAGGGGAGGCUUAUCCAUUGCACUCCAGAUGUGCUUACUCUCUGGUUUCCCCAAAUGUGGGAAACUUAAGUGCAUAAUUAAAAUUUUAAUAAUAAUGAUAUGGCCCAUCU
rnacentral:snRNA from 1 species